rnacentral:rRNA from 1 species
GCGAUGCAGGCGGUUCGCCGCCCGCGACGUCGCGAGAAGUCCACUGAACCUUAUCAUUUAGAGGAAGGAGAAGUCGUAACAAGGUUUCCGUAGGUGAACCUGCGGAAGGAUCAUUGUCGUAUCCUCCAAGUCCCGGCACACCCGCGAACGGUUGACCCCGAACUCCUCCGCCGACCGCCUGUCGGAGGGGGCCGCAAGAGCGGCCGGCCCGGUCCACCAUCGGUGCGGCCGGUUCGACGCCCCCUCCCCCCGGCAGCGGCCGGUCCCAACGAACCCCCCGGCGCGGCACGCGCCAAGGAACACCGACGUGAACGGCGCCCCCGCGUGCCCGCCACGUGGCGGCGCCCGUGACCACGGAACGAAGGAAAGCGUACGAACGACUCCCGGCAACGGAUAUCUAGGCUCUCGCAUCGAUGAAGAACGUAGCGAAAUGCGAUACGUGGUGUGAAUUGCAGAAUCCCGCGAACCAUCGAAUCUUUGAACGCAAGUUGCGCCCGAGGCCACUAGGCCGAGGGCACGCCUGCCUGGGCGUCACGCCCCGCGUCGCUCCCCCGACCCCCGCGCGUCGGUGUCUCGACGGGAUGCGGACAUUGGCCCACCGCGUGAACACUCGCGCGGCGGGCCGAAGAAGAGCUCGGCCCCUCCCGCGCCCGGGCGAGCACGACGAGUGGUGGACCCGGCACCGUGCGCGGCCGGCCCCAUCCGGGGCCGUCCGCACGUGCUCAUCGUCGUCGUCGUCUCCCGCCCGAGCAGCGAGCGAGGGGGGGCGCAGAGCGGUAGGAACCCAGCCGCGAGCGUCGUCGCUCGGACCGUGCGACCCCAGGUCAGGCGGGGCCACCCGCUGAGUUUAAGCAUAUAAAUAAGCGGAGGAA